rnacentral:rRNA from 1 species
UACGUAGGGUGCGAGCGUUAAUCGGAAUUACUGGGCGUAAAGCGUGCGCAGGCGGUGAUGUAAGACAGAUGUGAAAUCCCCGGGCUUAACCUGGGAACUGCGUUUGAAACUACAAGGCUAGAGUGUAGCAGAGGGGGGUGGAAUUCCACGUGUAGCAGUGAAAUGCGUAGAGAUGUGGAGGAACACCGAUGGCGAAGGCAGCCCCCUGGGUUAACACUGACGCUCAGGCACGAAAGCGUGGGGAGUAAACAGG